GCACCCUAAGUGCCAAUAUCAUGUCCCGAAGCCAAAUCAAUGAAGCUCACACCCGAAGUGCCGAUAUCAUAGCCCAAAGCCAAAUCAAUGUAACUCGCACCUAAAGUGCCAAUAUCAUGGCCUGAAGCCAAAUCAAUGUAACUCGCACCCGAAGUGCCAAUAUCAUGGCCCGAAGCCAAAUCAAUGAAUUCCCUAAUAACAUGUCACUAGUAUCCUAA
rnacentral:lncRNA from 1 species